ensembl:misc_RNA Metazoa_SRP Metazoan signal recognition particle RNA
GCCGGGCGUGGUGGUGAGUGCCUGUAAUCCCAGUUACUUGGGAGGCUGAGGCAGGAGAAUUGCUUGAACCCAGGAAAUGGAGGUUGCAGUGAGCCAACACGGUGCCACUGAACUCCAGCCUGGGUGACAGAGUGAGACUAUGUCUCAA